CCCCCUCAUCUGAAAAUGAAGGGGAUUAUAAUCUACAUUUUCACUGGCCAUUAGAAGAAUGAUUGUGAGACAGAAGCAGCUAGGGCAAUUUUUAUGUAGUUAUAAUAGAGCCGUGUUCUUCAUUGUAAGGCCUGGGAGCCAAUGGCAGCUCCCAUCAAUCUAAGUGCGGUGCCCUGACUAAUUGUUUAUUGGGCCUGUGCAAAGCUGAAUACUCUGCACAGUUCCCCCGGCACCAUAUGGCAACAGCCAUUCCGUGCCAUGCUGUGCUUUGCCCAGCACCAACGGGGCUCCUUUAAAAGAAACAGAAUGCUCUUGAGCUCCUGAACCUUCUUGGAAGGCAUGUAGAGAGUGCUGGGGAGUGUAGCCCUUUCCUGUACUUUCUUCAUAGAGUCCUUAAGGGCUCCAUCUCUCUUAAAAGAACCUCCCGGCACUGAGAAAACUGCAGUACUGUGCAGAGACCUCACCGGGAAUACGGCAUCUACUUCUGGACAGGGAUACUGCAAGAGUUUCCUGCACUGAGCAGAGGGUUGAAGACCUCCAAAGACCCUUCCAGCUCUAAUAUUUGAUGAUUCUAUGAUCAGCAUAUUAUUUGCAUUUGUCAGCAGCAGCAAGAGCUUUUAUUCCAAUGAAAAUGCAGGGAUGGGGAAAUAGGGCUGAACCAAAACUUCAGCCUCUACUCGAUGCUUUUUUCCAUUCUCAAGUUAACGCAGGAGACAAAUUCAAGUGAUGUGCCACCAGAUGUACCAUGUUACUCAGCAUGCCAAGUGCAUUCUUUCGGGGAGAUAACCAUUCCAGCAGCUUGCUGCAGUGGUUUGCAUGGACAAUGAAUACCCCUGUGUUCCAACCAAUCUGCAUGAAAUUUACAGGCAUUCUAGGACUCUCCAGGGAUUCACACCUGCUGAAUUUCAGUUACCUAGGACCACGGAUCUCCAUCUUUAAGGAUAUCCAAAAGGACAUACAGUAGCCUGACUAAUGGCAGAGAUAAAUUUUAAGAAACCUCA